rnacentral:lncRNA from 1 species
GAGCUAGAAGAGGGAGCUAGAAGAGUGCACAAAUGUAGUUCUUCCAUUUCCUUUGUGUAGUAUAGUUUAGCUAGUGUAGUUCAUCCAUUCUUGUAUAUUGCUAGACUAGGAUUAAGAUGGAGAUGAAGAAGGCAAGGUGAUGAGCUCAAGUGACAUGGGUUACAUUCCUUUCCAACUCUUUAUCUUUUGUACUUGAUUCCAAAUUUAGUUAAUAUGCAAGUAC